rnacentral:rRNA from 1 species
AGUGAACGCUGGCGGUAGGCCUAACACAUGCAAGUCGAACGGAAGCACAGUAAGAGCUUGCUCUUACGGGUGGCGAGUGGCGGACGGGUGAGGAAUACAUCGGAAUCUACUUUUUCGUGGGGGAUAACGUAGGGAAACUUACGCUAAUACCGCAUAUGACCUACGGGUGAAAGCAGGGGAUCUUCGGACCUUGCGCGAUUGAAUGAGCCGAUGUCGGAUUAGCUAGUUGGCGGGGUAAAGGCCCACCAAGGCGACGAUCCGUAGCUGGUCUGAGAGGAUGAUCAGCCACACUGGAACUGAGACACGGUCCAGACUCCUACGGGAGGCAGCAGUGGGGAAUAUUGGACAAUGGGCGCAAGCCUGAUCCAGCCAUACCGCGUGAGUGAAGAAGGCCUUCGGGUUGUAAAGCCCUUUUGUUGGGAAAGAAAAGCAGCAGGUUAAUACCCCGCUGUUCUGACGGUACCCAAAGAAUAAGCACCGGCUAACUUCGUG